CUUCCAAUGUGAAAGUCAGGACUUGCCCCAGGGCCUUCCAGCCCGAGUCGUCUAUAUUUGGCCUCACGAGGCUCCGUUUGCUCUGAGAGACUCAUCCACACCUGGUGGCGAUUACUCAGCGAGCAGCGGAGAUCAGCAGCGCAGAGGAGAGGUGCUCUGGAAGCCUGCAUUUAUCCCUACAGCCCCCCUCCCCGCCUCCCCCCCCGCCUCCCCCUCCCGGCCUCCCCCAUCCCCCAAUGCUCCUCCCUCCUCCUCCUCCCCUUCCCUCCUCUCCUUCCCUUGCCUUCUCCCCUCCUCCCAAGGUCGGGCGGCCCUGCCCUCCGUAGUCAUCCUCUGCAGAUUCCUGCCGGUUUAACCAACCUAGAGGGCGGACCCCGCGGAGUGGGACCCCUUCUCGGGAGGGACUUUGGGGCCGGCUCGCUCAGCCUAUUUUCUCAACCCUUCCCUUCACUGACUCCUGUCGACACAGGCUUCGUGGGCUCCAGGUAUUCUAGGAGGAAACUGGAAGUGUGUGAGUCAGGCUGAGUUCUAAAGAUAGCCUCUUAAUCCUGAAGAACCCUGUGCUUGAAAUGACUGUUUUGGGGAGAAAAAGUAACUUUUGGGAAGGAAUAAAAGAAGACUGAGAAUGAACUACUUGGGAUCCAGAACUUUGCAGGCAGUGCGUGUGUGCGCGUGUGUGCCCGUGUGCAAACGUGACCGUGGGCGCACACGCUAGACUUGUCCUGGAAAGCGCUUACAGGUCGGAACCCUACAGUCUUGCUCUUGUCAGCUGUGGACCUUAGACAUGCUCUCAUGGCCAUGGACUUCAUUUUCGUCUGCUGGAAAAGAAGAUUAAUAAGCCUGGAUUUCUAGGAAGAAGAACCGAGAUCACUGAUUUGUGGAAGGCACCGAGUUCAGCCAAUGGCUAUCACGACGGAUGAUUAUAGGAAAAGCUCUUCCCCAAGAAAACCCCAAGCAAAAAUGUUCCGUCACCAUAUACACCUGCAUGGUAGUUUCUAGUCUCGAAGGCGUGCGAAACCCUUCCUCCAGGGACCACCACCAGCCAACUAGGAGCUGGCCACUGCCGGAAAAGAGACAGAAACCAAAGCUAUGUCGUUCUGCCCCAAAGGGAGGACUCCCUCCCACAUCAUGGCCUGGGACUGGGACUUCAGCCCCUGGAAGGGGACACCAUGCGGAUGAACAUCCUUCCCCUUCGCUCCUCCAUGGGAACAUUUUGCAAACCUACAUGCACAACCGGGAUGUCAGCAUUGACACAAUGCACUGACCGUGUCCAGAUACCCCCUAUUUUCCUUGUACCCCUCACAGCGUACAAGUGUACUAGUCACCAGCAUCUCUAGACAGUCUCAUGACUGCUAGACUCUGAACCCCAUUUGCUCAGUUUUGCUGAUUAGUGGUAGCUUCUUGUUAUAUACCCUCGCAGAGAUUUUUCCUUCAAACAGAAAUACGCCUCCUUCCCAUCUCACACACACUUUCCCUCACACUAACCCCCACACUUACAUCCACACCAACCUCCCCCUCUGCAUUUCUAACAGGUUCCUAGGUCCUGCUGAUGCUGUUGGUUGGGGACCAUACCUUUAGGACCACGGCAGUUGGGAACCACAGACCCGUGGACUGUCUCUUACCAACGACUGGCCCUGCCCCCCGAGAACUGCACCAUGCUCUCGAGUGUGGCUCUGGACCACGCGGAUGCCUGAGCCGACGUCCUCUCCUUAGUCCUACUGUCCUCCUUCAGGGGCGCAGCGUCUGACCCCGGGGAUAGCUCUGCCCUUCCAGAAAGCCCCUGACCCAUCGGCUCCUGCUACCCUGAGCUCCCUGGGUUUUUCGUGCUCCUUACUUCCAGUGGCUUUCCUGUCCGUCCUCCCAGCCUUUCUCCUCCCAGGCUGGUCCCUCUGUCUUUCUCUCCCAGAUAUCACACCCAUGCCUAUGGUCUCACUCUUCAUUUCCAGGCAGAUGGCUUCCAAAUCUCUGGUGUGGUGUCUCCAUGUCAUGGUGAACACCAUGAAGGCAGAGAGGCCAGGGACUUGGCCGAGGCCGCCCAGGUCAUCAACGGCAGCGCUGGGGUGACGUGAGCCCACGCUGGUGCCCACCACAGGGACAUAGGUUAGCCUCCGUGUUUGCUCUGUUUACUGCAUUAAAGCCUCCAUAUAUUUUAGUGUGUAAGAAAAGAAACGUCCCCCACAUUGCCAUGUAUGACAGCUGUCCUGGGGUUCUGGGGACAGUGGCUCACUUGAGGGGUGCUUGAACCAGAACGUCUGAGGUCAGUGCCGGUCCCGGACCUCGUUGGCUCUGGGAACAAGUGUCUCAGCGAGGGGUAGCGGCGAGGUGAUGCCCGUGGGGUGAUGCCCGUGGGGCGGCUGUGCCCAUACUUGGCUCCCGGAGAUUGUCCUCGCAUGGUCUCAAUCACACAGACUCAGUCACUUUGCAAAGUACAAACAAAAUAAAAGGAAACUCAGACAUUUUGCUUUUACUUUUACAAAAGUAGUUGAGGUUAUUGUUCUCACUGUGAAUAAAAUCUGUUUAUCUGGUA